rnacentral:rRNA from 1 species
GACGAACGCUGGCGGCGUGCUUAACACAUGCAAGUCGAACGGAAAGGCCCUGCUUUUGUGGGGUGCUCGAGUGGCGAACGGGUGAGUAACACGUGAGUAACCUGCCCUUGACUUUGGGAUAACUUCAGGAAACUGGGGCUAAUACCGGAUAGGAGCUCCUGCUGCAUGGUGGGGGUUGGAAAGUUUCGGCGGUUGGGGAUGGACUCGCGGCUUAUCAGCUUGUUGGUGGGGUAGUGGCUUACCAAGGCUUUGACGGGUAGCCGGCCUGAGAGGGUGACCGGCCACAUUGGGACUGAGAUACGGCCCAGACUCCUACGGGAGGCAGCAGUGGGGAAUAUUGCACAAUGGGCGGAAGCCCGAUGCAGCAACGCCGCGUGCGGGAUGACGGCCUUCGGGUUGUAAACCGCUUUCGCCUGUGACGAAGCGUGAGUGACGGUAAUGGGUAAAGAAGCACCGGCUAACUACGUGCCAGCAGCCGCGGUGAUACGUAGGGUGCGAGCGUUGUCCGGAUUUAUUGGGCGUAAAGGGCUCGUAGGUGGUUGAUCGCGUCGGAAGUGUAAUCUUGGGGCUUAACCCUGAGCGUGCUUUCGAUACGGGUUGACUUGAGGAAGGUAGGGGAGAAUGGAAUUCCUGGUGGAGCGGUGGAAUGCGCAGAUAUCAGGAGGAACACCAGUGGCGAAGGCGGUUCUCUGGGCCUUUCCUGACGCUGAGGAGCGAAAGCGUGGGGAGCGAACAGGCUUAGAUACCCUGGUAGUCCACGCUGUAAACGGUGGGUACUAGGUGUGGGGUCCAUUCCACGGGUUCCGUGCCGUAGCUAACGCUUUAAGUACCCCGCCUGGGGAGUACGGCCGCAAGGCUAAAACUCAAAGGAAUUGACGGGGCCCCGCACAAGCGGCGGAGCAUGCGGAUUAAUUCGAUGCAACGCGUAGAACCUUACCUGGGUUUGACAUGGAUCGGGAGUGCUCAGAGAUGGGUGUGCCUCUUUUGGGGUCGGUUCACAGGUGGUGCAUGGCUGUCGUCAGCUCGUGUCGUGGGAUGUUGGGUUAAGUCCCGCAACGAGCGCAACCCUUGUUCACUGUUGCCAGCACGUUAUGGUGGGGACUCAGUGGAGACCGCCGGGGUCAACUCGGAGGAAGGUGGGGAUGACGUCAAGUCAUCAUGCCCCUUAUGUCCAGGGCUUCACGCAUGCUACAAUGGCUGGUACAGAGAGUGGCGAGCCUGUGAGGGUGAGCGAAUCUCGGAAAGCCGGUCUCAGUUCGGAUUGGGGUCUGCAACUCGACCUCAUGAAGUCGGAGUCGCUAGUAAUCGCAGAUCAGCAACGCUGCGGUGAAUACGUUCCCGGG